GGCUUUUGCGGGAAGUGGGGGAAGUGAGAGAGCCUCUGUCACUCCCCCCACCUCCCGCAAGAGCC
rnacentral:miRNA from 1 species